GUCAUUUUAUCUACCUCCUUAAUUGACAGUAAGAGGGGGUAUUAACCGUAUUAUCCGUAUGUUCUGAAAGUCAAUAAAUUGUACAAUGGUAUCAUGGUUUGUGGAAAUUCUUACAGUAGAUAGACAUGUACGAAUAAGCAACAUAAACUUGGUUAGGCUUUGGCUCAUAAUGUAUCUAUCGACUUAUCUGUCUGUACUUCAAAAGCAUCUUUAUUGCAUUAGAUAGUUAAGAGUGUUGGUAAGGAUGGGCAGAGCCACUAACAGGGAUAUAGUGCUCGUUCAAUCAAUAGUUCUGCAUCCUUUUGUGUUGUAUUACAUUUUUCUUGCAACUUACAUAAGAUUACCAAGGUCUGUGAUGCUCAAUAGUAUAUAGUUUUAGGCUUUAGCUGCAGAUUGGUCCAGAACUUGAAUCACAUCAAUCAACAUGAUGCCAUGAUGGUGCCAAGGAUGUCCUGAGAGUGCCUUAUCAUCUAAAUUUUCCAAGCACAUAUCACUGAAUUGACAUUUUCUUUGUUACAGAGCCUAGUCAUUUCGUCCCCCCUUGUCAUCAGAAUGAGCCAUAUACCUGCAGAAGGCUACAUUGUUUGCCGACCAUGUUUCUGACCAGAAGUGAGCCUGUCCGCACCUUCCCCUCUGAAAAUUUGUGUCGAGCCAUUGAGUUAGGAGUUUCUUUCAGUGGCAAAUCCUUGAGCACUGUAUUUCUUCUGGCUCAUGAAGCUGCCUGCCUCACCUUCUGAACAGAGGCCAGGCCCGUGGUUGCCUCACCGAUUACAGGAUGCCAACUAGUAACUACAGUUCCGAGCAAGGUAAUCGACAAUGCGGCUGAUAUGUGACCCUGUCCGUUCAUGGUCCCUCGCACCUUCUUGCUGGCAUUGCCAUCGUGUAAAUAUAUUUAUGCAGAAGCUUAGUGAAACAUAGGCACAAAGUAGAAGUGCCGACAUACCACUAUUUUUAGAAUUUAGACACAUCACCCGGUCUCAGCCCUAUCUGACAAGACAUGAACGCUGAAACCAUUGAAUCUGUCCAGAAGUGGCUCCAGUCUCUUCUCUGUUCCCAUAUCCUUGCUGGGGAGGAUUUGCUCAUACACUGAUACCAGGAGUUCCGCUCCUCAUCCACACAAUGGUAAUGAUCAGUAGUAAUUGUGUCC